GCCAUGUUGUGAGAUGCUCAAGCAGCUGUAUGGAGGAGCCCAUGUGGAAAAAACUGAGCCCCCCCACAACCAAUAUUCCCUUGCCAGGAGUGUGGCAAGCCUUCCUGGAAGCAGACUCUCCAGCACCAGUCAAGCUUUCAGAUGCUGCAGCCAUGGGCAAUGACUUUGCUGCAAUCUUAUGAGAGACUAAGCCAGAACCACCCAGCUAAGUGGCUCCCACAUUCAUUACUCACAAAAACUGCUCCUGCCAGUCACUGCUGUCAGCUGUAGCAUCUCUCCACCCUGGAUGACAGUACUGAGAAGUGAGGACACAUGGUGAGUAGAGGGCUUGCUGGCAAUUGGUUCACAAGCUGAGGAGGGCACAAAGGCCAGAUAUUUCGUCUGAAGAGUUCACAGGCUAUUAAAAACAUUAACAAGGUUUUACUGCCUCGCCUAGGAUGGAAAUAAUUGCUUUAAAGUGAACUGGCAUUAAAGUGAACACGUCAAGACUACCUACUUGGAAGGUACAGGAGACAGAAACAGAAAACACGACUCCUGAUUCAUGUUCCAUUACUUUAAUCGCUAAACACCGCUCCAUUUAAGCUAAAGAGAUAUAAUGGUACAUUUGACAGAUGCCUUCACAUCAAGAUGAGAUAGGGCCCUGAAAGUCGCAUGUUGAAUCUUUCUUACCUUCUAUGAGGAUGUCACUCAAAAUCUCUUCUCAGUUCCUCUUCACUGGCUGAUUACACAAUACAGAGUCAUUCCUAGUGCAGCCCAACCUCUCCCUAGGUGAACCUUGCUUUACACAAAACACCUGUGUGUAAAUAACCUGGUAAUCAUUCAAGUUGUAUUCUAAAUGCACCACAGAGAUCUCACUUUUUAAGGAACACUGAAAUAAAUGCUUUAGUGAA